CCUACGGGAGGCAUCAGUGAGGAAUAUUGGUCAAUGGGCUGGAGCCUGAACCAGCCAAGUCGCGCGAGGUCAGACGGUCCUAUGGAUUGUCAACCUCUUUAGUCGGGGAGCAAUGCCGGGCACGUGUGCCCGGAGGGAGAGUACCCGCAGAAUAAGCAUCGGCUAACUCCGUGCCAGCAGCCUCGGUAAUACGGAGGAUGGGAGCGUUAUCCGGAUUUAUUGUGUUUAAAGGGUGCGUAGGCGGAUUUUUAAGUCAGCGGUAAACUGUCCUGGCUCAACCCGGGCCUGCCGUUGAAACUGGGGAUCUUGAGUGGGCGAGAAGUAUGCGGAAUGCGGGGUGUAGCGGUGAAAUGCAUAGAUAUGACGCAGAACUCCGAUUGCGAAGGCAGCAUAACGGCGCCCGACUGACGCUGAGGCACGAAAGCGUGGGGAUCGAACAGGAUUAGAUACCCCUGUAGUC
rnacentral:rRNA from 1 species